GUCUCACUCACUCUGUUGCCCAGGCUGGAGUGCAGUGGCUCAAUCUUGGCUCACCGCAACCUUCAUCUCCAGGGUUCAAGUGAUUCUCCCGCCUCAGCGUCCUAAGUAGCUGAGACUACAGAUGUCCACCACCAUGCCCGGCUAAUUUUUGCAUUUUUGGUAAAGAUGAGGUUUCACCAUGUUGGCCAGGCUGGUCUUGAAUUCCUGAUUUCAAGUGAUCUGCCCACCUUGGCUUCCCAAAGUGCUGGGAUGACAGGCAUGAGCCACCGCACCCGGCCUAAAAUGUGCUCUUUAUGUUUUCCAUCUAGGAUUUCUAUAUUUACCCUGUCUUCCCUCUCCCCAACCAUGUAGGACUGGCUUAUUCCUUCAUCUGUAGGAGGAGGCAGGGCUUUGCCCAAACAUAAGACACCACGGUUUGAAUGAUGAGCUGGGAUUUGGGAGGGGAGGAAGAGGCAGCAUUGGCUGCUUUGUUUGUGAAGGUGGCAGGUAUGGCAGGAGGAAGGAGUUUGACUCCAGUAGAGAGCAGAGUGUUGGGAUUUAACCUGCCCUUCCCUUCCCUCUUCCUGCCUCUCUAGUUCCCUAUUCUCUACUGGUAUAGAUAGACUGGUAUAGAUAGAGGAAAGACUGCCUCUCUAGUUCCCUAUUCUCUACUGGUAUAGAUAGAGGAAAGACUGACACUCCUCUUCCUUUCCAUUAAUGGCUGCUCCUUUGAGUCAGGGCUCCUUUCCUUCCCCAUCCUAGGUCAGCACAGCAGACUCAAAGGUUUCUCACUGGACCCUGUUCUAAAAGCGGGUACAGCCUUUCUGAGAUUUUUCAUAAGACUUUUACCUGCCAGGAACAAUGGUAACAAACAUCAAGAACAAGAUGUACAAUCCCUGGAAAGCAGAUGAAGGUUAAGUUGCUGUCCUGUUCACCUGCCCAGUCUCUGUUUCCUGAAUUUCCUUCCAUUUACAGCAAGAAGCCCAUUCAUUUAUCCUGAAGCUCUCAGUACUUAGGUGCUUGUCCUUCUUGGUAUAAGUCAACUUGGUGUACGUUUCAUUUGAGUGACAGCUAGAAAAGCUCCACUCAAUAGUCACCUUGAUUGGAGGCAGAGGCCAAGUCACUUGCCACACCCAAGUCAGGAGGCUGCGUGUGUACAUGCAUGCAGAGGAAAGCCCAGGUGUAGAAGGGCUGACAAGGAGAGGAGGAAGGAGGAGAGAGGAGGGAGAACUCCUAGCGAUUGAAAGAAAGAUAAAUGGGAGCUACCGGUGUGAGUGGGACAACACAACGGAACCGUGGGAUGUCUGAAGACACUGUGCUCACUCAAGGAAGCGUGAAAGAGAGGAAGAAAAUUGGAGACCCAUAGAAAAUUAACAUUAGAUAUGGAUUCUAGAUGGUUUUUUGGUUAUAAAUACUUAGAGCUACUUGGUUUUAGCCUGAUAUCUACAAGUUAAUCUGUUGAGUUCCAG
rnacentral:lncRNA from 1 species